rnacentral:rRNA from 1 species
UACGAAGGGUGCAAGCGUUACUCGGAAUUACUGGGCGUAAAGCGUGCGUAGGUGGUUUGUUAAGUCUGAUGUGAAAGCCCUGGGCUCAACCUGGGAAUUGCAUUGGAUACUGGCAGGCUAGAGUGCGGUAGAGGAUGGCGGAAUUCCCGGUGUAGCAGUGAAAUGCGUAGAUAUUGGGAGGAACACCGGUGGCGAAGGCGGCCACCUGGGCCGGAACUGACGCUGAGGCGCGAAAGCGUGGGGAGGCAAACGGG